GCAAUCGACCACAGGCUAUAGAAAGCUCCGCUUCCCGUCUGCUCAGCGCAGAGAACCUAUAGGCCGUGCAGUCAGUAGUUGCGUGGGUGACCAGCAGCGAAUCCUGCAUGUUGAUUGUU
rfam:Cyphellophora europaea CBS 101466 unplaced genomic scaffold supercont1.6, whole genome shotgun sequence.